UAUUACUAUUUUUUCCGGGUGCAGGAC
rnacentral:sRNA from 1 species